CGGAGAGUUUGAUCCUGGCUCAGGAUGAACGCUGGCGGCGUGCCUAAUACAUGCAAGUCGAACGCACAGCGAAAGGUGCUUGCACCUUUCAAGUGAGUGGCGAACGGGUGAGUAACACGUGGACAACCUGCCUCAAGGCUGGGGAUAACAUUUGGAAACAGAUGCUAAUACCGAAUGAAACUUAGUGUCGCAUGAUACGAAGUUAAAAGGCGCUUUGGCGUCACCUAGAGAUGGAUCCGCGGUGCAUUAGUUAGUUGGUGGGGUAAAGGCCUACCAAGACAAUGAUGCAUAGCCGAGUUGAGAGACUGAUCGGCCACAUUGGGACUGAGACACGGCCCAAACUCCUACGGGAGGCUGCAGUAGGGAAUCUUCCACAAUGGGCGAAAGCCUGAUGGAGCAACGCCGCGUGUGUGAUGAAGGCUUUCGGGUCGUAAAGCACUGUUGUAUGGGAAGAACAGCUAGAAUAGGGAAUGAUUUUAGUUUGACGGUACCAUACCAGAAAGGGACGGCUAAAUACGUGCCAGCAGCCGCGGUAAUACGUAUGUCCCGAGCGUUAUCCGGAUUUAUUGGGCGUAAAGCGAGCGCAGACGGUUGAUUAAGUCUGAUGUGAAAGCCCGGAGCUCAACUCCGGAAUGGCAUUGGAAACUGGUUAACUUGAGUGCAGUAGAGGUAAGUGGAACUCCAUGUGUAGCGGUGGAAUGCGUAGAUAUAUGGAAGAACACCAGUGGCGAAGGCGGCUUACUGGACUGUAACUGACGUUGAGGCUCGAAAGUGUGGGUAGCAAACAGGAUUAGAUACCCUGGUAGUCCACACCGUAAACGAUGAACACUAGGUGUUAGGAGGUUUCCGCCUCUUAGU
rnacentral:rRNA from 1 species